rnacentral:tRNA from 1 species
AGGAUUUUAGGUUAAAAAAACCUUCAGCCUUCAAAGCUGACUAUAAGGUAGUAUUCUUAAGUCCUG